GACGAACGCUGGCGGCGUGCUUAACACAUGCAAGUCGAACGGCAAGGCCCUGCUUUUGUGGGGUGCUCGAGUGGCGAACGGGUGAGUAACACGUGAAUAACCUGCCCUCGACUUUGGGAUAACUUCUGGAAACUGGGGUUAAUACCGGAUAGGAGCUCCUGCAGCAUGGUGGGGGUUGGACAGUUUCGGCGGUUGGGGCUGGACUCGCGGCUUAUCAGCUUGUUGGUGGGGUAGUGGCUUACCAAGGCUUUGACGGGUAGCCGGCCUGAGAGGGUGACCGGCCACAUUGGGACUGAGAUACGGCCCAGACUCCUACGGGAGGCAGCAGUGGGGAAUAGUGCACAAUGGGCGGAAGCCUGAUGCAGCAACGCCGCGUGCGGGAUGACGGCCUUCGGGUUGUAAACCGCUUUCGCCUGUGACGAAGCGUGAGUGACGGUAAUGGGUAAAGAAGCACCGGCUAACUACGUG
rnacentral:rRNA from 1 species